GCCGUUGUAGCUCAGCUGGUAGAGCAAUUCCCUCGUAAAGAAUAGGUCAGCGGUUCGAUCCCGCUCAACGGCUCCA
rnacentral:tRNA from 1 species